UACAGAGGGUGCAAGCGUUAAUCGGAAUUACUGGGCGUAAAGCGUGCGUAGUCGGUUAUCUAAGUCGGAUGUGAAAUCCCCGGGCUCAACCUGGGAAUUGCAUUCGAUACUGGAUAGCUAGAGUUCGGCAGAGGGAAGUGGAAUUUCGGGUGUAGCGGUGAAAUGCGUAGAUAUCCGAAGGAACAUCAGUGGCGAAAGCGACUUCCUGGACCAGAACUGACGAUCAGGCACGAAAGCGUGGGGAGCAAACAGG
rnacentral:rRNA from 1 species